GACGAACGCUGGCGGCGUGCUUAACACAUGCAAGUCGAACGGAAAGGCCCUGCUUUUGUGGGGUGCUCGAGUGGCGAACGGGUGAGUAACACGUGAGUAACCUGCCCUUGACUUUGGGAUAACUUCAGGAAACUGGGGCUAAUACCGGAUAGGAGCUCCUGCUGCAUGGUGGGGGUUGGAAAGUUUCGGCGGUUGGGGAUGGACUCGCGGCUUAUCAGCUUGUUGGUGGGGUAGUGGCUUACCAAGGCUUUGACGGGUAGCCGGCCUGAGAGGGUGACCGGCCACAAUGGGACUGAGAUACGGCCCAGACUCCUACGUGAGGCAGCAGUGGGGAAUAUUGCAGAAUGGGCGGAAGCCUGAUGCAGCAACGCCGCGUUCGGGAUGACGGCCUUCGGGUUGUAAACCGCUUUCGCCUGUGACGAAGCGUGAGUGACGGUAAUGGGUAAAGAAGCACCGGCUAACUACGUG
rnacentral:rRNA from 1 species